rnacentral:rRNA from 1 species
AUACGGAGGGGACAAGCGUUGUUCGGAAUUACGGGGCGUAAAGAGCUCGUAGGCGGCUAGGUAAGUCGAAUGUGAAAUCCCCGGGCUUAACCCGGGAACUGCAUCCGAAACUGCCCAGCUAGAGUCCCGGAGAGGAAGGCAGAAUUCCCAGUGUAGAGGUGAAAUUCGUAGAUAUCGGGAGGAACACCAGCGGCGAAGGCGGCCUUCUGGACGAUGACUGACGCUGAGGUGCGAAAGCGUGGGGAGCAAACAGGAUUAGAAACCCCAGUAGUCC